rnacentral:tRNA from 1 species
GAUAGUCCCAAGGAAGUAAAAGGAAACUCUUGAUCUGCUAAAUCUAAGAGACUACAGUUUAAUUCUGUAG